AAAAAAUAGCGUUGGCUCUGUGCAUCUUAGCUGCCGAUUCGAGAUUAGACGCAGCGAAGAAGCGUCUCUUCGUGGAUGGGAUGAUGAAUGCACAUUUCCUCCUCCUAUCAUCUCUUUUGAUUUGAUCGGCUUCUUCUUCUUCCACAGCUUUCAUCAUGUUUCGCCCUCUCAAUCCCAAGCAUGUAUUCCUCUGCUUCCUUAUCUCUUUCGCCUUCUUCAUCGAUCCCUCCUCCUUGCAGCGUCUCGACGACGCCAAGAAGAAACAAAUGCGAGAGAAAGUCCGCGAGAUGUUCUAUCAUGCAUAUGACAACUACAUGACUUACGCAUUUCCGCAUGAUGAGCUAAAGCCUCUUACAAAAAGUUUCACAGACUCCCUCAGUGAGCUUGGAAAUCUGAAGCUUGAACACCUGCCAACAGAUUAUAGUGGAUCAGCUGUUACACUUGUUGAGUCCUUGUCCAGCCUUGCUAUAUUGGGAAACAAGACAGAAUUCGAAAAGGGGAUUCACUGGCUCUCAGAGAAUCUAACAUUCGAUAUUGAUGCACGGGUCAACCUUUUUGAGUGCAAUAUAAGACUUCUUGGAGGACUUAUCUCUGCUCAUCUUCUUGCAAUUGAUCCAACUAAUAGGUUGAUUCAGGGGUCCUACAACAAUCAGCUUCUUCGAUUAUCUGAAGAUCUUGGAAAACGCUUUUUACCAGCGUUUGAAACACCCACAGGGUUACCGUAUGCAUGGAUUAAUUUGAAGAAUGGAGUAAUGGAGAAUGAGACAACAGAAACAAGCACUUCAGGGUGUGGUUCUCUCAUUCUUGAAAUGGGAGCAUUAUCACGGCUCACUGGCGACCCUAGAUUUGAAUCAGCUGCACUACGUGCGCUUCGUCAGCUGUGGAGGAUGCGCAGUUCGUUAGAUCUGCUUGGGACGACAUUAGAUGUGGUAACUGGGAAAUGGCUAGAGUACUCCUCCAGCAUUGGAGCUGGUGUUGACUCCUUCUAUGAAUACCUCUUGAAGGCUUAUAUUCUUUUUGGAAAAGAAGAUUACUGGCGAAUGUUUCGUUCUGCUUAUCUGGCAUCUCAGAAGUACUUCAGACAUGGGCCUUGGUAUCAUGAAGCUAAUAUGUGGAGUGGGAAGCCAACUUAUUGGCAGCUCACAAGUCUUCAGGCGUUUUGGCCUGGUCUCCAGGUUCUUGUUGGGGAUAUCGCAGCUGCAAAUUCAUCGCACCGGGAGUUUUUCCAUGUAUGGGAGAGGUUUGGUGUAUUACCUGAGAGGUAUUUACUGGAUCAUCAAAUGAUACAUCCGACUGAGAAGUACUAUCCACUACGUCCUGAAUUAGCAGAAUCAACAUUCUACCUGUACCAAGCUACAAAAGAUCCAUGGUACCUAGACGUUGGUGAAACAAUGGUGAAAUCCCUUAAUCUGUACACGAAGGUUGCAGGGGGUUUUGCAAGUGUUAGAGAUGUGACAACCAUGCAACUGGAAGAUCAUCAGCACAGUUUUUUUCUCGCUGAAACGUGAAAUUACCAUUCACUUCCGUGCACGUAAUUCUUUUCUUACCAUACAACGUCAGAACUCAGAACAUCAUAUUGGUUGUUAUCUCACGUUCGCAGGUUAUGAGCUCCUGGCAUGAGAAACUACCAGAAAGUUACUUCUCAGGCAACUGGACGUUUUCAAAGAGUGGAGCAUGGGAAAGUCGAGCAAGCGCAUUGUCAAUGCAAGUCUGUCCAUCGAUUGCUCCCAACUCUAGACGACCUGAGCAACACAGAGAGAGUGCUUGUCAUGUUCCUGAUGAGAAAAUGGAUCAUAGGUGUUGGAGCAACAAAGAGUGUGGAGUUGACGCCACUACUUGUAGACAAAGAUCGUGCAGCGGGGUUGGAUUCUGCGGCUUGUGGAAUCCCUUAUAAGUUAUAUACAACUUCUGACUUAAAACAGAAUACAUGGCUUUGAGUUUCAGUAAAUGAAAGAGGUGGGGCUUAUAAAUACAGAAUGUUCAAGUACUAUAGAGAGACAAGUUUUGGUGGACGGAAAAUAUAGUUAUUGAAUGAUGAUGUUUUAUCAUUUCUAAGUGUUAUCAGAUCUCGGCAUGGAUUUCUAAUUACUUGGGA